UGAGGAAUAUUGGUCAAUGGGCGAGAGCCUGAACCAGCCAAGUAGCGUGCAGGAUGACGGCCUUAUGGGUUGUAAACUGCUUUUAUGUGGGGAUAAAGUGCGUGACGUGUCAUGCAUUGCAGGUACCACAUGAAUAAGGACCGGCCAAUUCCGUGCCAGCAGCCGCGGUAAUACGGAAGGACCGGGCGUUAUCCGGAUUUAUUGGGUUUAAAGGGAGCGUAGGCUGUCUAUUAAGCGUGUUGUGAAAUUUACCGGCUCAACCGGUGGCUUGCAGCGCGAACUGGUCGACUUGAGUAUGCAGGAAGUAGGCGGAAUUCAUGGUGUAGCGGUGAAAUGCUUAGAUAUCAUGACGAACUCCAGUUGCGAAGGCAGCUUACUGUAGCAUAACUGACGCUGAUGCUCGAAAGUGCGGGUAUCAAACAGG
rnacentral:rRNA from 1 species